rnacentral:rRNA from 1 species
AGAGUUUGAUCCUGGCUCAGAUUGAACGCUGGCGGCAUGCCUUACACAUGCAAGUCGAACGGCAGCACGGGGGCAACCCUGGUGGCGAGUGGCGAACGGGUGAGUAAUACAUCGGAACGUGUCCAGUUGUGGGGGAUAACCAGUCGAAAGACUGGCUAAUACCGCAUGCGCCCGAAAGGGGAAAGCGGGGGAUCCAAGGGUAACCGAGGACCUCGCGCGGUUGGAGCGGCCGAUGUCCGAUUAGCUAGUUGGUGAGGUAACGGCUCACCAAGGCGACGAUCAGUAUCCGGCCUGAGAGGGCGGACGGACACACUGGGACUGAGACACGGCCCAGACUCCUACGGGAGGCAGCAGUGGGGAAUUGUUCGCAAUGGGCGCAAGCCUGACGACGCAACGCCGCGUGGAGGAUGAAGGUCUUCGGAUUGUAAACUCCUGUUGCCCGGGACGAAAAGCUUCAACCUAAUACGUUGAAGUCUGACGGUACCGGGUGAGGAAGCCCCGGCUAACUCUGUGCCAGCAGCCGCGGUAAUACAGAGGGGGCAAGCGUUGUUCGGAAUUACUGGGCGUAAAGGGCGCGUAGGUGGCCUGCUAAGUCGAACGUGAAAUCCCUGGGCUCAACCCAGGAACUGCGUCCGAUACUGGUUGGCUUGAAUCCGGGAGAGGGAUGUGGAAUUCCAGGUGUAGCGGUGAAAUGCGUAGAUAUCUGGAGGAACACCGGUGGCGAAGGCGACAUCCUGGACCGGUAUUGACGCUGAGGCGCGAAAGCCAGGGGAGCAAACGGGAUUAGAUACCCUGGUAGUCC